rnacentral:rRNA from 1 species
UGGGGAAUUUUGGACAAUGGGCGAAAGCCUGAUCCAGCAAUGCCGCGUGUGUGAAGAAGGCCUUCGGGUUGUAAAGCACUUUUGUCCGGAAAGAAAUCCUUGGCUCUAAUACAGUCGGGGGAUGACGGUACCGGAAGAAUAAGCACCGGCUAACUACGUGCCAGCAGCCGCGGUAAUACGUAGGGUGCAAGCGUUAAUCGGAAUUACUGGGCGUAAAGCGUGCGCAGGCGGUUUGCUAAGACCGAUGUGAAAUCCCCGGGCUCAACCUGGGAACUGCAUUGGUGACUGGCAGGCUAGAGUAUGGCAGAGGGGGGUAGAAUUCCACGUGUAGCAGUGAAAUGCGUAGAGAUGUGGAGGAAUACCGAUGGCGAAGGCAGCCCCCUGGGCCAAUACUGACGCUCAUGCACGAAAGCGUGGGGAGCAAAACAGGAUUAGAUACCCUGGUAGUCCACGCCCCUAAAACGAUGUCAACUAGUUGUUGGGGGAUUCAUUUCCUUAGUAACGUAGCUAACGCGUGAAGUUGACCGCCUGGGGAGUACGGUCGCAAGAUUAAAACUCAAAUGAAUUGACGGGGUCAUAGCU